CCUUUUUAAAUUUUGUUAUGUAAAACUAAACUUGAAUGUCAAUCUAAACUCCAUGAUUUAAUUUCUAAGUAACGUAAUUAUUGUGAUAUUCUGUGGCGUGUUGGUAUGACAGAGACAAUACGAGUGGGUAGGUGACAUAAUUCUCUUAAAAUACGGCUGCGUAAAAAAAAAAAAAACUUUAGUAAUAUUCUUCGACAAUCACUCGGAAUCCAAAAAGUGUCCGACGAAAAAAACCACUCGGAAAAUUAAUAUUAUAAUAGUAACAGGCGUGUUGUGACAGGGUAUACAGUUUUCGGUAGUCGAACAGUUUGCUGUAUUGAUUACUAUUCGCGACUGUAAUGUCACCUAAACGUUUCGUUUACUAUAUUAUGUUAUAUUAUUAUUUUUAUUGACGUAUAACCAGUAACUGAAAAGGUUUUUAAUAUUGUUGGCUGUGCGAUUCUAAAAGUGCAUUCAGUUGUCGAAAACGAUUGUGGUGAAUAAACGAAAAUACAUCGCCGCAAAAACGAUUUGUUCGCUAAACUACAUUAACUAUAAUAUUAUAGUAACCGCAUUAUCAGAGGUUAAAAGCUGCAUCGACAAAACAUCGUUGAUCAUUCGCUAUACGAGUGUAGGCAAGAAUGCGAAGUGUGUUAAACACUCGUGUGAAACGUUUGAAGAUUAAACUGAAAUAACUAAUAUGUUCUGAAGAGUGCAAAUAUUUUUAAUGUUCCUAUUCAUUAUUAUAAUAUACGUUUGAAAAUAAACAAUUCCAAUAUAUGUAUUACUUUCGGAUAAAGAAGUAACAUUUCAACAAUACUAGACGUGUCUUGGCGUUGUAACCGUUUAUUAGCGGUGUAUACUGAUGACAAGCGCACCCGCAGGAUAAAAUCCCACACAGGGAAAAACGGGGAAAACGUUUUAUUUCAGAAAUAUUUUAUGUUUUUAUGGUAAAAUGAUUUGCCAUUUUGCGUGAUAAAAGUAUAUACAGCAGAAAAUCCCAGGGGGGUAAUGAUUCAAUUUGCCCCCCCCCCCUGUGGACGCUUUUGAUUAAAUGACGUUUUUACGAGUUAAUGCAGUUAACUACAGGUUAUUUUUUUCUAGUAAACAGUUUAGCGAUUUUGCAACCGUCAAUUUCGAGUUGAUAAGAGAGUUUACUGAUGUUCGGUUACUAGUCGGUUCGAAAUAAACACGAGCGAUGAACGCAUGAAUAAUAAUAAUUUUUAAUUAAACCGAACGCACAUACGCGACGCGAAUAUAAUUGCCGUUUAUAGUGUUUAUAUUCUAACAUAUACUAACUGCAGGUUGUAAUGACAAU